GCUGAUUGUGACGUACCGUGGCCAAGAGGAGGCGGGCGAGCGCCGCGGGGACAGAUAUAGAAGUGGGGAAUAACCCCGAGUCCGGUAAUGAGGCUCGACAGGCCUGCACGGGGAAGCGUGACAAGCCAGCCGAACUGGCCAGUCUGCGUGUGUCGUUGAAAGACGGUCGGGCAGACCGUGUGAAGGAUCCGCCUCUUCAGGGUCUGGGGGGCGAACUGUCACGCCGCGCAUUCCCGUGACUUUACCGAAAGAAUUCAUUCCUAUUUACAGAGCACCGCUCCUCCUGGGUGGAUACUUCUAAACAAGGUCAGUAGGGACAGUGAGGAGAGGAAGACAUGGUGGACUAUUAUGACAUUCUAGGAGUGUCACGCAAUGCCUCUCAAGAUGACAUCAAAAAAGCUUACAGGAAGCAGGCUUUGCGGUGGCACCCAGACAAGAACCCGGACAACAAGGAGGAGGCAGAAAAGAGAUUUAAGGAGAUCGCAGAGGCCUAUGAAGUGCUGUCAGACAGAAGCAAAAGAGAAGCAUAUGACACUUAUGGCAAAAGUGGCAUGCCGAGAUCAGGUUCCGGCGGCAGUGGCUCUUUUCCAGAUGACUUCCCAGGAUUCACCUUCACAUUCCGCAGCCCAGAUGAGGUGUUUCGGGAGUUCUUCGGAGGCCAGGAUCCGUUUGCCGACUUCUUUGAUGAUUUCCCGUUUGGAGGCAUGCACAGCUCUUUUCGUGGUCACCAUGGCUCCUCCAGGCUCGGGACCAGUCGGUUCUUCUCAUUUCCCUCAGCAGAUGUUGACUUCACGACUUUCUCGUCUUCCUCAAUGGGUGGCACUGGAGCGGGUAAUUUUAAGUCUGUGUCCACAUCCACCCGCGUCGUUAAUGGAAAACGCACCACCACCAAAAAGAUCAGAGAAAACGGUCAGGAGAGGACAGAGGUUGAGGUGGACGGGGUUCUGAAGAGUGUCCUCAUCAACGGUGUGGAAGACGAGAUGGCCCUGGCUCUGGAACUCAGUCGUAGGGAGCAGCCCAGCCAGCCUCAGGGGCUACCGCUCCCAGAGCAACAGCUCCCCCCGAGACCCGCCGGCUCCCACCUGGCCAAUCAUGGCACCCGCCGCUCCUUCAGCUCUGACCCCUUCUUCCACUGUCCUGGCACGAGCGAGGAGGAGGAGGACGAAGACCUGCAGAUGGCACUGGCGUACAGUCUGUCGGAGAUGGAGGCUCAGCAGCGGGCGGCUGCUUCCGCCCAGGAUAUGAUCUCAGGUGCCAGGGAAGGGCGGGGCGAUCUGGCCCGGCGUGGCCGAGGAGGGGAGGGGAGGGAUGUCGCUCACGAUGGGACGGAUGACUCGGCACACAGCACGCCUUCAUCUCCAGAUGAUGAAGCAGGCAAGGGGUCAGGGGAGCCAGAGAGGAGUGCCAUUGUUGUCAAGGACAGAGAGGGCAGAGCGCCCACAGCCAAUGGGACGGCAGUAUUGAAAGGCCGGAAGAAGUGUCGCUGUGUGGUGUGUUAGGGUGUGCGGAGGGGCGGGGCAGGUCAGACACCGCAUUACUCAGUCCUGCAUGAUAUCAGUGUUAACCCUUUGUAGGGCUGUUGUGGUGUUCUCUAAUCCCAUAGCAGUGUUGUGCAGUACAUUGACUAAUCCCACUGCCUGGUGUUGCAGAAGUAUACCACUGUAAUAUGAGGACUGACUUUUUUUUCUUUUUUGUUUUUGCUUUCUUGCUUUCUUAUUGGUGCUUUAUCGUGAGAAAUAGAGGACUGGUGCCCAUAAUAGUUUGUUAGAGAAGGUAGUUCACCCAACAGCUCAUUUUUGAUUAAGUGCUAUAUUAUGCCUCAAAAGUCCCGCGUUAUGCCGUGAGCAAUGUACUGAAGCCACGCGAAGCCAAUCAUAUACAGCUGCACGUGACCUGUUGGUGGUUCAUGCUUAGAUCUUGUUAUCUGACAGACGAGCAGAUAAUGUUUGUCACUUUAUCAUUGUUUAGUACAUCUUUCAUCCCUGAUACAUUGAUGGUUGAAGCCUACAAGGUCUUGAGUAAUGAAGUCACUUAAGAUUUUGGAGGCUAAAAGUAUUGAUCUUAAGACUCCUGCGUCAGACUUGUACGUGGUACUUCUGACUCGGUCUGAAGGAAAGCAGUAUGCAGUUUUUGGGGAAGCUGUAUUCUGGUCAUUGUUUGGCCAUGGCACUGUUUGCUUUGAGGUCUGCUGAAUGUGGAGAGAUUUUCAGGUGCUCAAAUCGAUGCUACUCUGAAGCAUGUUGUGCCCAAUUACACAAAGAGUUGGCGGCGGCUGUAAAAAACAAAAGUAAUGGGAUGAUUACAUUGUGCCUGGAGAUAUUUCAUCUCAGUUAAUGCUGCACAUCAGAACCAUGUGAAGAUAGUCGCCCUCUUGUAAUCUGGUUACAGGCAAACAUGACAAACUAGACUCAACUCUUUCAUUUCAUUUGCAGAUAAAAAAGAGGUAAAGGGAGAAUUUGGAAAUGACUUUGUUGCUAGUUUAACAUCAGAAUGAAUCCAAGGAUUUGCUCGGUGCCUUUGCUGUGUGGGGGUGCGGGUGCAUGGCUGGGACUGUGAAUGCUAUAUUGGUUUGCCGUUUCAUGGUUGCUACCAAAGGAAUUGUGUGCGCUUGUCCAUUCUUUAUUAGGAAAAUGGAUAUCAGAUUUAAAAUAUUUCUAAAGACAGUACAUUUUUAGUCAAUUGUACGAUUAAGAAAGUCAGAUCAGUUCUUGUGUGCUAUGGGCAGAAUGUAAAGCUCCAUAUCCGACAGGUAGAAAAGCACAUUCUGUUUGCAAAUAGGGCACAGCUUCUUUUGUCACUGGCAGUUUAUUUCAUGCCAUAUUUUUAUAUCAGCAACAUUUUUUUAAAAAGCACAGUAUGUAUACUUAGGGGUUUUGUUUGCUUAUUCUCAUAAAUAUCACGUGAAGAGUUUAUAUUAUCUACAAGCAUCGGAACAGUGUUUAAAGCUGAUUUUAGCCAUUGUUUACUUGGACUUGUCAACACUAAUAGGACGAACAAUAAAUGUCCGAGCACCAGUCUGAUGAUGAGCACUCCUUCUUACAAAAUGUGUCAUUUUGGUUACCAUUUUUCACUCCCUUUCAUUACCUCGUCACAUUAACAAGGCCUGAAAUUGCUUCUGUUUCACUUAUGUAAUUUUUAUAAGAAUGCAAGUCACAAUAACUGAUCUUCCUAUUACCGGCUGGGUUUGAAAACGGUGACGCUACAUUUUUAUGUACAUUGAGGCUAGAAUUUCUACCUCUGUCUCUCCUCCUCUCAGGAUUGGCUGGCCUGACUGAAACAAUCAAUUUCAGAGUAACUUCUCAAAAUGUUUUCACGCUACACAUUAUUUGUCUUGUAUCUGACCAUUUUACUUUUCUCCCUGUGGUGCUGGCAUGGUCUCUGCUGUCCUCGUUAGUUUCCGUUCCGACAUUGCUCGUGUGUCGUGUUCAUCUGCAUAUGUGUCUGAUCUUCGUAUCCUGGUCUGAUUACCUGACUCCCUUUCCCUGCUUUUGCAGAGUCUGACUUCCAGGCCUUCACGGGCUGACUGCUCACCACCCCCUCACUCCUCUCUCCCUGAGGUGAAGAGCUCCGAGGUGCUCUGCCUGCCCUCUGGCUAUCCUGCUGCUCAGACUCUUUUCAAAGUUUUAUUUGGAAAAAAAACCAACAAAAAAAAAAAA